GAUGAAGAACGUAGCGAAAUGUGAUAAGUAAUGUGAAUUGCAGAAUUCAGUGAAUCAUCGAAUCUUUGAACGCACAUUGCGCCCGCCAGCAUUCUGGCGGGCAUGCCUGUUCGAGCGUCAUUUCAACCCUCGAGCCCCCCCGGGGGCCUCGGUGUUGGGGGACGGCACACCAGCCGCCCCCGAAAUGCAGUGGCGACCCCGCCGCAGCCUCCCCUGCGUAGUAGCACACACCUCGCACCGGAGCGCGGAGGCGGUCACGCCGUAAAACGCCCAACUUUCUUAGAGUUGACCUCGGAUCAGGUAGGAAUACCCGCUGAACUUAAGCAUAUCAAUAAGCGGAGGA
rnacentral:misc_RNA from 1 species